UCUUAGUAUUGUCUAGGUUUGGAAGGAAAAGGGCUGUACAUACUUAAACGAGAAUGAAAACUUUAACAAAAAUUAUUUUAUAGGGUCCCACUUUUUCUAUCUGCAGGCUGCAGGGAAUGAAUCAAAAUGUUUUUAUAAUUAGCAAAAUUUUGCACGGUUAUUUAAAACUCCUACCAGGAAACAAUUUAAGGUCAAGUUAUAAAGGGGAACGCCCCACCCAAAAACCCAAGACGGGCUUGCUGACGUAUCGGGGAAAUACUGAUCACAAAUGAAAGGUCUAUGCGAGUGGAAUACAAAUCUGAUAUCAAAAUUCAUAUUCAAGAGCCAGCAAUUCCCCAAAAACCUCCAAAGCGGACAUCUAGACUGAUGGUUUACUCUAUUAUUCAACCAAUACCUAGAGAGAGAAACCCCCGUUUGAUACUUUUCAGUUUAUCGUAUUUCCACGCGAUGUAUAAUUGAAACUAAAAAUAAGUCUGUCAAUUCAAGAUUAUUUUGUGGUUUGUUAUUUCUUGUUAAUCAAUUAACAAUUGAAGUGUGCAGGUAUGAUACAUUUUUUUUAUUUGUGGCAUGUCAUAAAUCAUUUUAUCGCUUAGCUAAUUUAAGAACAAACAAAAGCCUCCUUCUCCUAUUUUUGAUAAAAUGAAGAAAAAAAUGAAAAAUUAUGAUGGAUCUUUUGAGAAAUCAAUUUUGCCAAAACUGACGUAAAUGCCACCGCCUUCGCAAUUACUAAUUAGACACAAACCAAACCCGAAAACCCCAUCAAUUUUAAAUGAUUUAUGUUAAGGUUAGGUUUGGUUGAAAAGAGGAGGAUAUUGAUCCGCUGGACACACACCUAAGUGUGCUUGUUGUGCGCACUAAGAACUAAAAAGUCUAUUAUAGCAUACCCCCAAGGCGCACUACAAACUAUUGUGGCAUAUUAUAAGUAGGAGAAAAGCUUAUUAGGAACAAAUUGCGUUCUUGCUAAGAUGUAAGCAAUAAUAAAGCAUCAAUAGUUCAAAAGGGAAACAAAAAAUCAAAAACAAUAAUUUUCAAUAACAAAUAACAGCAAAUACCUUAGACUAUUAUAAUAUCUUUCUUUGAAAUUAGAGCUAUUGAACCGACAAUGAGUGGCUAGUGUAAACAUUUUCAAUGGAAUUUCUUUUAAAAAUAGACUUUUUAUGAAAUGUUAUCAUUUUAAAAAUAAUAUUUGAACAAUUGCGCUAAACUUGAAUCGGACAGCACCCAUUUAUGUGUAUGAA